UGGAGGUUUUGAUCUUUAACAGUGACAGAGAGGUUUGUUUAAAGAGCAUAGACUUGCUGACUCCUUUUGGUCAGCAAGUGUGGUUCUCACAAGAUUUAAAGAUUUUGGGUGGAGGAUAAGUUCACUCCCACUGCUAUUAUAGGAAUUCUUAACAUGGUCAGCAGUUUUUUUUAAGUUUUUGUUUAAGACCAGGUCUAAUUGUACUCUGGACAACCACAAAGCGCUUUGGCAGGAACAAACACAGAAAGCGAGUUAAUAUCUCAGUUUUAGUUUAUAGUGGAUAUACGCACUGGUACCAGCUUGGUAUUUUGUUAACUGGCUGUUUAAAGGUGGUCAUUCCUUAAGCACCAAGGACCAGUCUUCCCACUACACCAUAUUUAGACAGCCAUCGCUGUAGCCCAGGCCCCCGUCUGGAGGAAAUGGGUGGGCCCUGAGCCAUGGCUCCACUCCAGGAAUCCCAGCAAUGGCUUGCACCAUUUAUACAAGGCAGGGCAGGAAGGAUCUGCUUUAGUUAACCCGGUGAAGAAGUGUUGUAAGACCAUUGUGGAAAAGUGAUGGGUCUUGCAGGAGUACUGUGGAAUUUGACAUCUUUUACAGUGGGAUUUGGACGGGACACCUAAGAAAACCAAAACUUUGGAGUGGACAUGACUCGGAAAUCACCUGAAACAGUCCUUUCAUAUGUUGCAGCUCUUGCAGCAUUGCCCAUGAAAAUUUGCUCCAACUAAAGUCAUCAGAAAAUCAUAGCAUGUUCUCACAAAUUGGAGCUAGAACAAUAGACAUGGAGGUGGCAAAAGCACAUAUCACUUUACCUAUACUGCUGCUCUAGUCAGAAACAUAACAACAAUUUGGAUUUGAGAAUAAAAGUAGAGACAUAAACAGCCUACUUUCAGAAAUAUUUAUUUAGGCCAUGUAAAGCUGUCCUCGGCCUGUCCAGGGACGGAUGGUAAGAAAUGAACUGGGACCAGGAGGGUGACAUUUUCACUCAUCAGUUAGAGCACACAUUGGCGCUUAACCUCAGCUUCUGUUGCAUCUACUGGUAGACACUUUUAGUUGCAAAUAUAGCCAAAUAGGUGAAUGUGAGCUUUUUUAAGCAUGUCAGCCUUAACGUGUGUCGCUGGCUGGAGAAUCAUGACUGCAAUCUGCUGGAGGACUUUUUGUUCUUGUUUUACUUUAACUGCAGUUUGAUAACAUAAUAAUUAUUCGAAGUUUAAAACUCAUAGUCUACUUGCAUAGUAACUCAGUCUGUAUAUAGAGAUACUGAAAUAUCUGUAUG